rnacentral:snRNA from 1 species
AUACUUACCAGGCAGGGGUUAUACUAUGGUCACAAAGGAGAAUUGCUCGGGACGAAGCUUAUCCAUCGCACCCUGGAUGGAUGUGCUGAGACUGAGAUUUCCCCAAAUGUGGGAAAGUGUUUGCAUAAUUUGUAGUAUUGGAUGGUUUAAAGAAAAUUGAUUCUCCUCCC